AAUAGAAGAUGUCAUAAGUGAUUCGGUUCAAUCCACACGAGCUAUUCAUAGAGAUUGUUCUGUAAAGAAUGAAUGCAAUCAUCUUGGUACUGUAGAGAACCGAUUUUUAUCUCUUUCAAGGGGAAAAAAUCAAGGGUUCAUAGCUGAAGAAAGUAAAUGAUUGCAAUUCGGUUAUUUCAUAGUUUUAAUCACAAUUAAGAUGGGGGUUAUGGAACUCAAAAAGUCAUAGAAUUUUAUAAAGCCAAUUCCCAUGAUUUUAUUUCUACAUAGAAAAACAAAAGAAAAGAAAAGGAUCUGGAGAGUACUGAGAGAAGAAGAGGGAGGAUUAAGCUUCAAAAGGUUAGUGAUUCAAUUUUAUUUCUUUACUAAUUAGUUAUGAAUAGUUGU